rnacentral:ncRNA from 12 species
UUGUCGCGAGGUGAGAACGGCCUUCUCACGCCCCUUUGGUCAGAGAGAGGGAAAGUAGCUGGUUGCGGGUUUCCGUCUCCUUCCCCGCACUCCAGUGAAGAGGUCCGGGAGUGGCGACCCGGCGCGACAG